CCUGCUCACUGAUAGAAGUUAUUAAAUAGCCGCGGUAUUUUGACCGUGCAAAGGUAGCAUAAUCAUUAGUUUUUUAAUUGAAAACUUGUAUGAAUGGUUGGACAAAGAAGAGACUGUCUCUUGUGUUAUAAUUGAAUUUAACUUUUAAGUGAAAAGGCUUAAAUAUUCUAGAGGGACGAUAAGACCCUAUAAAGCUUUAUAAAUUUGAAGAUUUUGUGUAUUUUUAUAUAAAAAUGAAUUUUGAAGAUUUUAUUUGGUUGGGGCGACAAUGGUAUAAUGAGAAUAACUGCUAUUAAAAUUAACAAUUAUAUUUGAAUUAUUAAUAAUUGAUCCUUUAUAAGGAUUUUAAGAUCAAGUUACUUUAGGGAUAACAGCGUUAUUUUUCUUGAGAGUUCUUAUCAAAGGAAAAGUUUGCGACCUCGAUGUUGAAUUAAAAUGUCUAUAUAGUGCAGCAGCUAUAAAAGAAGGUCUGUUCGACCUUUAAUAUUUUACAUGAUUUGAGUUCAGACCGGCGGGAGCCAGGUCGGUUUCUAUCUUCUAGAUAAUAAAUAGGUACCUUAGUACGAAAGGAUUGGGUAGUUAAAAUUUUUUUUUGAAAAAAUUGAAAU
rnacentral:rRNA from 1 species